UGGGGAAUCUUGCGCAAUGGGCGAAAGCCUGACGCAGCAACGCCGCGUGGGGGAUGAAGGCCUUCGGGUUGUAAACCCCUUUCAGCAGGAACGAAAUUGACGGUACCUGCAGAAGAAGCACCGGCCAACUACGUGCCAGCAGCCGCGGUAAUACGUAGGGUGCAAGCGUUGUCCGGAUUUAUUGGGCGUAAAGAGCUCGUAGGCGGUUUGGCAAGUCAGGUGUGAAAACUUCAGGCUCAACCUGGAGAUGCCACCUGAUACUGCUAUGACUUGAGUCUGGUAGGGGAUCACGGAAUUCCUGGUGUAGCGGUGAAAUGCGCAGAUAUCAGGAGGAACACCGGUGGCGAAGGCGGUGAUCUGGGCCAGUACUGACGCUGAGGAGCGAAAGCGUGGGUAGCAAACAG
rnacentral:rRNA from 1 species